UGGGCAGUAGUUCAGUGGUAGAGCUCUCGCUUCGUAUGCGGGAAAACCUGGGUUCGAUUCUCGGCUGCUUAC
rnacentral:tRNA from 1 species